CAAGGAAAUACCAAAGGACAUGGUUCAGGCUUGGGUUACCUAGAGCACAUCUGCCAACUUGUUGAAAAAAUUGGACAGCUACACAGAACACAAUCUAAAUUACAGAAAGAAAUCUGUGGUUUACAGAAGGAACAGAGAACAAGCCAACUAAAGGAGGAGUAUUUCAUACAGCAUUGCUCCUGUGGUGCUGCCAGUGUUUUGCUCAACUCAUACCAAGAAAUGAAGAAUUAUUUUCCUGGGUGGAGCAGGGCUCACAGCCUACUCAUUCAGAAUGGAAAUAUAUCUGACCUCUCUGUUAUUCCAGAAAUAGGAGGAAUCAGCGAAAAAAUCAAGCACAGAGAGGAUGAUGUUUGAUGUAUGAAGACUACGGUGCUAAACCUGCAAGGAAUAAUUAUAAUAUUGCACAUGAUCUGGUAAAAAGAUACAAUCCCCCCUUCACUCAUAUCUACUCUAUAACUAUACCUGUAAAUAGUCAUUACUUUCUUAAGCAACUUUUAAAACUGUUGCAGGAGGGCAGAUUGUACUAGUUGUAUCAAAAAUUAAGAAAAAGAACCAUUAUAACAAGUUUAUCAUUCUCCUUUGCACUUCAUCAGAUGCACAAAUGCUUUCUCAGGACAAUCAUUUUAAGCAAUAUAGCCGAGGGGCCAUCGUUAAUAUUUUAGGACUCACUAUUCAUUUUUAGGAGUAACUGAAGUGGCUUCUUUCUACCUUCACUCUGAAUUUUUUUUGCAGCAAUAAAUUGACAAUUGUUCCAAAAUAAAGAUGGUGAAAAGAAUUUUACUUGUGCAGAGAUGGAACAUUUUGUCCUCUAUCUGUUGUAGACUACAACUCCCACAAUUUUUACCAUUGGCCCUGCCGGCUAGGCUUCCAAGUGUUGAAUGCCAAAUGUCUGAAAGCCACAACUACAUUAGGGAGGAGGAGAGAAGGGCUGUUGCUUUAAAGCAGAGGUCUACAGGUUGGGGUACAUAUUGGCUGCCCAUAGGACACUGGAGGGCCAUAUCCCAUUUCAGCUAUGCCUCUAGCUUUUUAUGUUUUAAACUUCCUUUAACUACAUCUCCUGCUUUCUAUAGGCUAUCAAUGCAAUGUUUCCCAUGUUUUAGUAUCCUCUACAAGGGAAGUAAUAGUGCCAUCCUAUUUUGCUUUGGUCAGGCCUCACCUGGAAUACUGUGUCCAGUUCUGGGCACCACAAUUCAAAAAGGAUGUUGAGAAGCUGGAGUGUGUCC